CAAUGAAGGAAGCAUGGUAAUGUGAACAUAAAUUGAUUUGGGUCUCUAGGCCUGCCCUCUUUGAUGCGGCUUUGAUUUGGGGGCAUGGUUUUACAACAAAACG